CACGUAGGCACCAAGCGUUGUCCGGAUUUAUUGGGCGUAAAGAGCUCGUAGGCGGUUCGGUAAGUCGGGUGUGAAAACUCUGGGCUCAACCCAGAGCCGCCACCCGAUACUGCUGUGACUUGAGUUCGGUAGGGGAGCGGGGAAGUUCCUGGUGGUAGCGGUGAAAUGACGCAGAUAUCAGGAGGAAUACCAGUGGCGAAGGCGCCGCUCUGGGCCGAGACUGACGCUGAGGAGCGAAAGCGUGGGUAGCAAACAGG
rnacentral:rRNA from 1 species